UACGGGGGGGGCAAGCGUUGUUCGGAAUUACUGGGCGUAAAGGGCUCGUAGGCGGCCAACUAAGUCGGAUGUGAAAUCCCCAGGCUUAACCUGGGAACUGCAUCCGAUACUGGAUGGCUUGAAUCCGGGAGAGGGAUGCAGAAUUCCAGAUGUAGCGGUGAAAUGCGUAGAUAUCUGGAGGAAUACCGGUGGCGAAGGCGGCAUCCUGGACCGGCAUUGACGCUGAGGAGCGAAAGCUAGGGGAGCAAACGGG
rnacentral:rRNA from 1 species